CACGUAGGGCGCGAGCGUUGUCCGGAAUUAUUGGGCGUAAAGAGCUCGUAGGCGGUCUGUCGCGUCGGAAGUGAAAACCUGGGGCUUAACCCCGGGCCUGCUUUCGAUACGGGCAGACUAGAGUUCGGCAGGGGAGACUGGAAUUCCUGGUGUAGCGGUGAAAUGCGCAGAUAUCAGGAGGAACACCGGUGGCGAAGGCGGGUCUCUGGGCCGAUACUGACGCUGAGGAGCGAAAGCGUGGGGAGCAAACAGG
rnacentral:rRNA from 1 species